rnacentral:rRNA from 1 species
UACGAAGGGGGCUAGCGUUGCUCGGAAUGACUGGGCGUAAAGGGCGCGUAGGCGGUCAGCACAAGUCAGUUGUGAAAUCUCCGGGCUUAACCCGGAAAGGUCAACUGAUACUGUGCGACUAGAGUGCGGAAGGGGCAACUGGAAUUCUCGGUGUAGCGGUGAAAUGCGUAGAUAUCGAGAGGAACACCUGCGGCGAAGGCGGGUUGCUGGGCCGACACUGACGCUGAUGCGCGAAAGCCAGGGGAGCGAACGGG